GAUAUCAGGGUCAAAAGGUCAGAAAUCUGAAACAAGCUUACUUGCAAAAGGAUUUUUGACCUUGGAACCCGCCAAAAACAUGAAUAAGCAGCCAUUUUUCGUAGAAAAAUGAGCGAAUUAUGAAUGUUUUUGAGGAUUGCGAGAGUGCAAAGCACGAAGCAAUCCGGUA
rnacentral:sRNA from 1 species